rnacentral:tRNA from 2 species
CGAGAUGUAGCGCAGUUUGGUAGCGCGCUUGGUUCGGGACCAAGAGGUCGUGGGUUCGAAUCCCGUCAUCUCGACCA